AUGAACAAUUCACAUAAGAGAAAUGAACUUCAAAUGUUAUAGAGAUAUGUAUCGGACAUAGCACAAAUUCCCAUUUUCAUUCAUUGUAUACAUUGACACUAUAUCUUGCUAAGGCCUAUCACAGGGUACAGUACGCAUACUCAGGGUGAACCUUUUUUAUCGGCAACGUAUGGUUACAAUGGUGACAACUUACACAGCUUGAGUUUCUAAUGGAUAUUAUUUGUUGUCAGACGGUCAAAAAAUAGCGACAAGGUUGGUAACUAGUCUGUAAU